GAUCCUGGCUCGGGACGAACGCUGGCGGCGUGCUUAACACAUGCAAGUCGAACGAGAAUCUGCGGAAAGAGGAUUCGUCCAAUUGAAGCAGAGGACAGUGGCGGACGGGUGAGUAACGCGUGAGGAACCUGCCUUUCAGAGGGGGACAACAGUUGGAAACGACUGCUAAUACCGCAUGACACAUUGGGGUCGCAUGGCCCCGAUGUCAAAGAUUUAUCGCUGAAAGAUGGCCUCGCG
rnacentral:rRNA from 1 species